rnacentral:rRNA from 1 species
GAGUUUGAUCAUGGCUCAGAUUGAACGCUGGCGGUAUGCUUAACACAUGCAAGUCGAACGGUAACAGGCCUUCGGGCGCUGACGAGUGGCGGACGGGUGAGUAACGCGUAGGAAUCUGCCUUAUAGUGGGGGACAACGUGGGGAAACCCACGCUAAUACCGCAUACGCCCUACGGGGGAAAGCGGGGGAUCGCAAGACCUCGCGCUAUGAGAUGAGCCUGCGUUAGAUUAGCUAGUUGGUAGGGUAAAAGCCUACCAAGGCGACGAUCUAUAGCUGGUCUGAGAGGACGAUCAGCCACACUGGGACUGAGACACGGCCCAGACUCCUACGGGAGGCAGCAGUGGGGAAUAUUGGACAAUGGGCGCAAGCCUGAUCCAGCAAUACCGCGUGUGUGAAGAAGGCCCUAGGGUUGUAAAGCACUUUCAAUGGGGAGGAAAACCUGCCGGUCAAUACCCGGUAGCUUGACAUUACCUAUAGAAGAAGCACCGGCUAACUCCGUGCCAGCAGCCGCGGUAAUACGGAGGGUGCGAGCGUUAAUCGGAAUUACUGGGCGUAAAGCGUGCGUAGGCGGCUCGUUAAGUCAGAUGUGAAAGCCCUGGGCUCAACCUGGGAACUGCACUUGAAACUGGCGAGCUAGAGUUGAGU